rnacentral:rRNA from 1 species
UACCAGCUUCUCGAGUGGUGGGGGCGAUUAUUGGGCCUAAAGCGUCCGUAGCCUGCUUGUUAAGUCCCUCGUUAAAUCCGACGAUUCAAUCGCCGGCCCGCGGGGGAUACUGUCAAGCUAGGGGGCGGAAGAGGCUAGCGGUAUUCUUAGGGUAGGGGUGAAAUCCUAUAAUCCUAGGAGGACCACCAGUGGCGAAGGCGGCUAGCUAGAACGCGCCCGACGGUGAGGGACGAAAGCUGGGGGAG